AUACGUAGGGGGCGAGCGUUGUCCGGAAUGAUUGGGCGUAAAGGGCGCGUAGGCGGCCCGGUAAGUCUGGAGUGAAAGUCCUGCUUUUAAGGUGGGAAUUGCUUUGGAUACUGUCGGGCUUGAGUGCAGGAGAGGUAAGUGGAAUUCCCAGUGUAGCGGUGAAAUGCGUAGAGAUUGGGAGGAACACCAGUGGCGAAGGCGACUUACUGGACUGUAACUGACGCUUAUGCGCGAAAGUGAGGGGAGCAAACAGGAUUAGAUUCCCUGGUAGUCCACACUGUAAACGAUGAAUGCUAGGUGUAGGGGGUAUCGACCCCUUCUGUGCCGCAGUUAACACAAUAAGCAUUCCGCCUGGGGAGUACGGCCGCAAGGUUGAAACUCAAAUGAAUUGACGGGU
rnacentral:rRNA from 1 species